rnacentral:rRNA from 1 species
AGUAACGCGUGGGUAACCUGCCUCAUACAGGGGGAUAGCAGCUGGAAACGGCUGGUAAUACCGCAUAAGCGCACGGUAUCGCAUGAUACAGUGUGAAAAACUCCGGUGGUAUGAGAUGGACCCGCGUCUGAUUAGCUAGUUGGUGAGGUAACGGCUCACCAAGGCGACGAUCAGUAGCCGACCUGAGAGGGUGACCGGCCACAUUGGGACUGAGACACGGCCCAA